GUGAAUUAUUGCAUAUACCGUGUAUACACUCUUGCGGCGCUAUCGUGUACGGACAAUGAUCAUGUUCCCUGCAACAGGCGUCUUCAGCCGAAUGUUGACCCAAAUCGUUAUAGCCAACUGUCACAUUGCCCGGCCCGCACCAUUUGGUACCCGGAUAUAUUAAACCACUGCCAGCUUUACAGGUCUCUUCGAGGUCCGCGACAAGGUUGCUGGAAAUUUGUCGAACCUUCCUGGGAUCUGCACCGAGCACCAUUCUCUGGAUGGUCCCACGAUCACUAUAAAGAGCGCAAAAGGGCGCGUCGGCGUUCAACUCUACCAUUCUGGACAUAGUAGUGUCGGCGACCAGUACGCUCGCUUCAAUCUUCUGGAGCCACAGGAUCGGCAGAAUGCUGAAUAGUAUGGCGAUCAUCUGCAACGAUACAUUUCCGGCUUUAAUGAGGCUACAUGUAAAGUACAGAGGACAUAUAUAACUGGAGGACAUAUAUAAAUCUAUUUUUCGAAAAAAUAAAAUGCUAAACAUAACACGUGCGCUAUGGCUACAUCAACGAUCUCGAUAAUAAAACAUCGGGUCCAUCCAGUAAUACUUGGAGAAAUCGUCGGUCCGAAAGAUAUAUACUUCGAGGGCAUUGCAGAUGCGAGGUGUAAUCUCAAAAAUAAAUCAAUUCGAGCGAAAUGUGAAAUUUAUAUUGCUCACAAAACAGAAUCUGAAGUGAUCGUUCCAAGAGUCAGAAACUUUCGAUUGUGACUGAAAGAAGAAGGCACAGAAGCACAAAGUCGGUAGUGUAAACUGCGCACUCACCCCGCAUCCCCA